GGGUGGAGGGGUGCGCGGAGCCCCCGCCGGCCCCGUGUGCAGAGCCCCCGCUGCGUGUGCAGAGCCUGCCCCGACACAGAAGCAGAGACGAGGUGGACACCGAGAAUGUCUCCAUUUCAUGGAGGCUCAAGCUCACGCUUGAGAUGGAAGGGGCCCGGGGUCCGACUUCCAUCCGGGCCAGCACCCGCUCUCUCAGCACCGAGACACACGUGGGGGCCUCAGGACACAGUCAGGACACAGAAUUCCUCCUCGCCAUGACCUGAAUGUGGCCCCUGGUGGGGGCUGAUCUGGGUCUCCCUGAAUUCAUGUGUCAGAGCCUAACCCUUGAUGCCUGAAAUCGUAUCUGGAGCUGGAGCUUUACAGAGGUGGCUAAGGUAACAUGAGGUCACCGGGGUGGCCCUGAUCCAGUGUGACCACGGUCUUUAUGAAAAGAGAGGUCAGGACACAGACACACAUGGAGGGAUGACCCCGUGAAGACCCAGGGAGAGCACGGCCAUCCACACACAAGCAGAGAGGCCUCAGGAGGACCCCACCUGCCUGCACCUGGACCUCGGGUAUCAUCCAGGACCCAGGGACAAUGAGUCUCUGCCAUGUGAGCCCCCAUCUCUGGGGCCUUGCUGUGGCUGCCCCAGGACACGCACACGGCCCUCUGAGUACAGUUUAGAGAUGGUCUGCUUCAGGACAAAGUAUGCUUCUUUCCCCACCCAUCAAACCAGGGCCCAGCUGCAUGAAACAGGAAGUGGUGAGCACGCCUCAUCUGUCAUCCUACAAAGUUCUAGACCACAGGCAAGGCCCUUACCCUGCCAAGUUCUGUGUGCCCAGGGACUCAGAAUGAGGACACUGCCCACAGGGACCGUGAGGGCAGGCAUCCACACAGCACCCACUCUGGGUUGCUCCAAGGGCUGGAGCCAGAAAUAGAAAGUGUCCUUUCUAAGAAGACCCAUGUGAAGAAGAGUAGCCUUCCAGGCUGUCGGAGAAGACACUGCUGCCCCUAGAAGCAAGGGACGCGGGUUUCCUUCGAGCGCCUGACACCCAGGCAGCUUCCCGCUCACCAUGGGAUCUGCAUGCUUUGGAAUGAGGCUGAGCGAGCUCUCAGGUCCAAACUGCCUGAGGCCAGGGCUGCCACCGCACAGACCAGUGCUGUGGGGCAGCAGGAAGCAGGCGCCUUCCUGGGUGGGCUGGGCUGGAGUGAGAGUCUUAGUGCCUCGAAGGAAAAGAACGUCACAGUUAGUCCAAGACAGAGCCCUGGACGGUCCACUAUCCCUCUGCCCAAGGUCAGAGGCUGUGGUGAAUUAUUACUUCAUGAAACCUAAGGAGAGGUGUGCGCUUCACAGAGCCUGGGCCCAACAUCAACCCCUGCUACCAGCCUAUGACCAUGACCAUACUGGGCAGCAGAGUUCGCAAGGGACAGAGUAGCACAGGCAGAGAUCCUGGGGACAGAGGUGGGCCAACAGGGAGCACUGGGGAAGGAGGGUGCAGGCGGAGAUCCUGGGGACAGAGGUGGGCCAAAAGGGAGCACUGGGGAAGAGGUGGUGCAGGUGGAGAUCCUGGGGACAGAAGUGUCCUGGCCUGGCUCACAGGGGACAGAGGUGGUCCUGGAAGAAUGCCCAGGGGAUAGUGGUGCUGGCAGGGCUCCUGGGGACGGAGGUGGUGCUGGCAGGGCCCCACUGAGACAGCUGUGACCCAGUGCACCCCUUCACCACCCGGCCAGCAUGCAGGCGGUCCUGGGAAGGCAGAGAUGGAGCCAAGCGGGAGAAGCCGUGCAGAAAUGGCACGAAGCUCAGGACGCACACUGGGAAUCCACAUUCUGAACAGUUGGUGAGAUUUUGGAACUGGCAUGUAGGGAGGUCAUAUUUUUCAACACGCGCAGCCUGUGCCCAUUCCGACCAGCUCCCUCUGUGACGCCUCCCUGUUGGGGCAGGAUGCAGCCAGGGCUCUUCAGCUGGGGCUGGCAUCCUAUUUUGAAUUCCUCAAAGGACAUGGACUCACAAGCGCCAGCCCAGCUGGGAAAGAGGCGGGUGACGGGAAAGGCCAGAGGCGUCCUCCGUGGAGCCCUGGCUCUAGAGCUCCAGAGGCUGCCCUCUUAAGGGGCUCAGCCCACUGGGGAAGCAGCAUGGCCUGGCCCCACCUGCUAGGAAAAAAAAAAUCUCACUUUGGGGAACAUCCCUGGGUUUGCAUUUUGCUGGUCGUGAGGGAGAACCACAUUAGUCACUUCCUCUGGGCAGACGGAGGCCAGAAAGACCCCGGGGAGGGCUGAGCACUCAUCCUUCAGGGUUUAAAAAAUGCACCUGCUGGGUGGGUGCUCUGGGGGCACCCGAUACCUGCCUGAUGACAGGGUAGGGGGGACUGAGAGACCUCACAGAGGGCAGACGGCCACACAGUCCAAGAGGGUGGAUACCUUCCCUGCAUAGAGACUGUCAGCCGGAGGACCAAAUCACAGCAAGAAAGCCAACCCCUCCAGCAGACACAUCAAGCACAAUGGGUGAUGGGGCCCUGGGCCUCGUGGGCCAUCUUCACCGCCCCCCACCCCCCACAUCCGAGGAGAGGUCAGGGCUCAUGCUACGCACGGGGAGGGCACACCCCAGCUCCGUGGGGACACUCCCGGACAGGGAAACGCGUGCAUUCUGUGACAUGAACUCCUGCCGAGCCUCCAGCUUUCCCUGACAGUGCGGUUGGGUCUCCUUUUCUGACUGGAACAACUGUAAAGUACUCAUGCCCUUAACAGAAAUUGUGGGGGGUGGGGGGUGGGGAGUCCUGCCGAUGCCUAAGACAGAUGCAGAGGACAGAAAGGUCUGUGAAAGAACAGAACAGACACCGAACGAUCCCCAACGAACCUUUCCCUGCUGUGUCCGGGUUACAGAAAUUGAAAUACCAGAACACGAAUCUGGGUUAGUAAUGCAAGAAAAUGAGCAUGGACAGAGGCUGAUUUUUCACAUAAAUUCCCAAGACACAGGCUAAGGCCGGCUUUCCGAGUGGGGGCUUGGGCAGUGGCUGGAAUGCAGAACUGCUGCCCUGGGAAGACAGAGGGACAGAUGAGCCAGGGUGCUUCCAAAUACACCCUGCCCUGGGGACCGGGGAGGGUACUGAGCCGGGAUCACACGGGUAACGUUAGGGCGAGCAUUCCAAUGGCAAUUAUCUCGCUGAAUUAUCAAGACUUGCAUUCAAUUAGUUCUCCAUGUAAGGUAAUUGGACAUUUUUUUCUGUGUUUGUUUUACGGCUUGGGGGGGCAAGUACCUUUCUAAUUCCUCCAAAGUCACGUCCCCAUAAACCCAAUCAUCUCACAAAGCGAGAGUUCUCUGUCUGACAAACGAACUGGAGCCAUCCGUGGAAAUGUUGAUUUUUUUUUUUUUUUUUUUUUUGGUGAAAAGGGUAAAAAUAACUCUUUUCCUGUCUGAAAAUGAUUAAUAUUCCACCCAACUGUUUCCUUCUUUCAGGCAAUCUGCAAACUCGAAGUGGGUGGAUAUUUUCUUAGCUGUCUUACAUGUAUUUAUUUAUACAUUUUUUUUUCCACAAUAGAAAUCACACAAGGUAUGACAAAAACACAUGCACUCUCAAAGUCUGCCACACUGCAUCUGCAUCCACUCCAGGAAGCUGCCGCCCGGGCAUGGCCAGCGAGAGCCGAGGAGGGGCUGCCAGAGCGCCCGCCCUGCCCUGCCUGCGCGGCCAGCAGCGUGUCCUGACCUUCCCCGCUCCCGAGCAAGUGCUCCCCAGUCUCCAGGUAGCGGCCAGACGAGUCAAAACUUCCUUUAUUCUCGAUAGGACUUAGUUCCCCACAUGUCCUCUGGCACAGUCACCAUGGAUGCACGUUCCGGGAAUGCAAUUGUGCAAGGGGCUGGGGACUUGGGAGGACCGUAGAAUAAAAACGCACCUUGGAGUGGGUGAAAAUCCCAGACCAACUACAACAAAGCCCGAUCGUGCACCAGAAGUAAUUAUCCCCUUCCGUGAUGAGAAGGGACAACCGGCAAUUUUGGGAGGGACUGGAGUCCCCCCUCCGGCCCGCUCCCCCGGAGAAUCAGUAAGAAACUGCUAAUUCCCAUGCACCGCGCUCCCGACAGCUCUUUCUUACCUUCCUUCUUGGUGAAGGCAUUUAACAAAGACUUCAUUUUCCCUCCGACUUUGGCAGCAGUCCGCUCAUUAUAUAACCUUCUCGGAUGGGAGGAAGGAGAGGAGGGCUGCCCGGCCCCUCGGCGCUGGAGCGGCUCGGACCCGGGGAGCGGCGGCGGGCGUCUGGGCACUGCGUGCUUCCGAGCAUAGCUGGGCAUGCCAGACCCAGCGUGCUGGUGACAAAGCCCACCCCAUAUUCUGUCUGUCAGCUGGGAACCAACCGUGCGUAGACUGGGGCUGCUCUCAAACCCUGCUGCCUCUGCCGGCGCCCGUCAUGUGAGCAGUGCUACUCUGCUUUUGUGAUCAGUGCAUCUGGGAGGAGGGUGAGCACCAGUCAGGCAUCCUCGAGCCGGCGGCCGGGGAACACCAGAGGCAUCCGCGAGCCCGAGCCCCCACCAUCCGAGCCAACUCGGGCUCGGUGUGCUCCGGGCCACUUCUGCUCAGACGUGCCGGGCGCUAAAUAUAACGCCCCGUGCUUUCCCGAUUUUAUUUUUAAAGAAAAAAAAAAAUGCCAAGUUUUCUUUGACGCCGUUUGUUUGUCCGCUGGCGGAUGCGGCGAGCAAGUCAAGAUGAAACGCCCAGCUCCAGAUAAGCCUCACACCAGACCCACAUUAACUGGGCAGCCCUCGCCGGCAUUGUGGAAUUUCUGAGCGUGACCCAGAUUUCCGUUGGAAGGAAUCAGACACAAGUACCUAUCCCUUCUCCGGCUCACCCCAUCGUGGUAAUUACCCUGGAGAAAACAGGAUUUCCUCCCCCCCCCCUUUCUUUUUUAAAGAGAGAGCGCACAAACUGCCACCAAGCUCUGGCUCGCCCUGAUUCCAGGCGGCUGAUCAAAAUGAGUGUCUUCGGAGCCCCGUUACACGUGUCCCGAUCAUGUCCACCCCGAGAGAAGUCUGGGAGACUCCCGGAAAGUCCUAUCUGAGGAGCGCCCAGAGAAGGGGCCCCAUGCUCGCGUGCUCCGCGGCAGGUGCGCGGGGCUGUUUCUAGACAAGGACAGAGGGCUUCCUGAAAAUGAAAUGGAGCAUCCCGGGGAGCCGGUUCUGUCGCCCGAUGCACCUGCUGCUCGGCUGUAAUUAAGUGUGCGUGUUCUCCGUUGCCAAGAGAACUGCUUCCGAAAUUAAAGAGAGAGAGAGAGAGAGAGAGAGAGAGAGAUGAGACGGGAUGAGGAAAAAGCAACGGGGAAACGUGUAAGUGGAAUGUGGUCGACAUACUUUGGGUCGACAAAAACAGCAGCUUUAGGAGUGGCAGGCAUCUGCCUUGGAAGGACAGGCCGAGGGGUCGGAGGCCUGGCCCAGUGCCCUCUCUGUGCGGCGGGAAGGGACGGCCAGGGCAGGACCUAAAGUAGCUGCUCAUUUAACCGUUGUCUCCCACUUAACGCCCACAGCACCCCGGAUCACUCGGUUGCACCCAAACUCAGUCCUAGGUAACACCCUGACACCCCACGCUGGGUUGUAAAUCCAUAUGACAGAACAUAAGCCAUUUCUGAGAUGUGUCCUAGGAAAUGCAUCUGCCGCUGGCACUUUUUAUCAUCAGAGACCCCCAGUAACUUGCUCUCGUAAUUCAUGUCCUUCAGGGCAGAGGGGUUGCUGGCAGAGCUCAGUGUCCGUAGACACGUGGGGUAAGAUGCAUCUUCCUUGUGUGCAGAGUGUCACCAAGAAGGACACACACGGGGAGACCACUGCCGUGCCCCUGGGGCGGAUGCGCCAGGGUCUGCAAGGUGGCCGUGUCUGAUUCAUGGGGCUGGGCUGGCUGCUGGCCAGGUGUGCGCCCUGGCCAGGCCGGGAGGCCACGGGGAAGGCACAGCAAGGGAGCCCCUCUGCAGAGGCUGGGCCCUGCCACGUGAGCCCUGAGAGCUCGCCAAAGCUCAGGGAACCCUCUGGGAGAGUGGGAGGCUCGGCGCUGCUCAACCCUCCUCCAUCUGUCUCUGGUCGAUACCCUCCCAGAAGCACGGAGCCGCAUCCUGAGCCAAGUUCCCUCGCCAAUCCUCACUGCCAGCAGCAGAGCGGAGGGGCAUGUGUGCCAGGGCCGGUGGAGGUGGAACCUCGCCCAAGACCAGGGCUGCCUCUGGAGACCUCCUCUGCACCCCUGAUGUUGACCUUGGGUGAAGGGUGUGGGGAAGACGUAGCUUCCUGGGGCGUGAGUGUGAAAACCCCACAUCUCUUCUGCCUCGAGAAGGCAGGGAACAAGACAGAGCCCUUUCCCCGUGCUGGGGAGCAGAGCACGAUCCCCAGAUAACAUGUGGCCAGACGGGGAAGCCCCAGUGGAGACUCCCUUAGUGCUUGCAUAUGGAACAACUGCUCCUCACAGACUCGGGGAACGGUACGGCCCUGGGGCCAGCAUCGAGAAGGGAGCCCCGCUCAGACGAGGCCCAGAGGCCUACGACAGGGACACAGCGGGUCAGCGGGGACACGGGGACAGAUGCGUUCUCCAGACCAUUGCUACCCCUGUCCCACCUGGGCUGGUGAAUUGCAGGCUCUGUGUGACCAUGGAGGGACACAGCAGUGCACAGGACUGCCUCCUUCUCACACUGCACAGGGGGCCAGUCAGGGGAGCAAGACCAGACUUUAGACAUAACAGGACCUGAGGAACUGCAGGAAACACCCCUUUGCCCCAGGAUUCCUUUCUACAUGCCUCCCAUUCCUUUAAUGCACUGCCAGGAAUCUGAGUAAAACCCUCACAGAAACGAGAAGUGGUAGCUGUCAGACUCACAUGCAGGCCUGCUGGGUAGGCUUAGCUCUGCCCGACGGAAAUCCUGCUUCCUGACCCCACCUACCCGGACUCUGUGAGGCCUCCUCAGCCCUGCAGGCAUGCUCUCCUUGAAUACUUCCAGCGAUGGGAAGCUCACUACCUGUAUGCAGUGGUUCUCACUCUCAGACACAGGCUGCAGCAACCCCACCAUGGCGGCGAAUGCCAGCGCUAGGCCCACAUGAAUGAGUCUCCUUUCCCUUCACACAGGAACAGGCUCGUCCCUGCCACAUACUCCCUAGGAGGAAAAGCCAUGCCACUAAAGACACAGAUGUUGCCCCGACAAACACAGGGCCAUGUGCAUCCUUAGUGGCAAUUUUCAUUCUACGCUCUGGGCCAUGCUUUUCCGUGCAAACCAUUACUGGAGAUUGACAAGCUGAGGCCACUGGAUCCUUGACCCAUCUUGUAUUUGUAUGAACACGCGUACCUAAAACCCGCCUGCCUGCAGGAAUCGCGUGUAGUGGUCGUGCUUUGGGUCUGGACCCUCGCACUGUGACCCGGGGCAGUGUGAGAAGAGAGAGCACGGCCCCGCACGUCGCCUGCGUGGAGCACUCCUGCUGCCAGCCACAUGCCUGUCCACAUCAACGCUCCCUCCAGGAGUGACAGACGUCCCACCUUCCAUGCCCAAACCACGAGGCCUCAACACCCAGCGCCGGCCCCAGCUGCUCUGGAAAGGUGGCGCAGCAGAGGUGGAGGGAGGCACACGCAUUCUGUGUCUGCUGCAGGAAUCCGCUAAGACUGUCUCCACCUCCCAACAAGCAGGUGGAGGGCAUGUGAGCUGCAGGUCCAAGAUUAAAAACUGAAAGGAAGAUGGAGGAUGGGAUUUGAACCCUUAUUUCUCCCUGAGGCUUCCAGAGAUCCUGUGAUGGGUCUCAGACACCUGGGACCUCUUUGUGGGGUCUGCCAUCUUCCAGACAGCCUGGUCAGCCAGGCUUCCAGACACCAGCUGGUUGAGAAGUUUCCCCAGAUGAGAUGGGUGACGUCCCCAGGGCUCAGACGCCCCUGCUCCAUGGCCUCAGCUGUACAGAUGCCCCAAGAUGGCUGAGCUUUCCCUCUGUGUAUUCACAGACCCCUUGUUUCUGUACAGGGUCCCCCACGGAGGAGUGGAAGGACCACUAGAGCCUGUGCCCGACACAUAACCUGCUCACUGAGCACAGAAACUCACGGAAGUGACUCUUACCUCUCUCCUUGGAGAGGGGGCCCAUGGGGGGCUGAGAUGGAAAAAACAGAAGCGCAGAGAAUCUCGGGGGCCCACCAGCCACCCUCGCCAUCUUACAGAAGCUAAAACCAAAUGCCGACAGUGAGAGCGUGCGGCCGAGCCAGGAGCUGGGAGGCGGCGGGUCCGGGCAGGGCUGCGAAAGACUUGGGUACAUCUCUGAGACCUUGUGGCAGAUCCGGGGAGGCUGCAAUGGACCAGAUGUAUGAGCGUGCGAGCGGAGUGCAGGAACCCGGUAUCCUCACCCCAUCUCUGAAGACCCUGGCAUAGUAGCUGCCGUGCCCCCGUCCCUCAGACGCAGCCCUGAUCCCCAUGAAGGACAAUAAACUACCACCACCCCCCGAUUGGCAGGACGUCCAAAGGCUCUAGUGAAAGUCUCAAAGUCUGCAGGGAAGAUGCCAAUCGCCAUCAGAGCCAAUUAGAAAGGCCACUGUCGCCGCUGUCAUGAGGCUGGGCCACCCCCUUUCUGCAGGAGUUGACUCUGACCGGCUCAUUUUUCCUAGCCUGUUACCAAAUGAUGGAAUCUGAGGUGAGCCCUGGGUCAGCCUCUGACUCAAGGUGGGAUUGUUUCCCAUCUUUAAAAUGGGGAGACUAGCCCCCACCUUGCUGGGCUCGUGAGGUAUCUGAGAGCGCCCCACAGAUGUGGGCUGCCUGCCAACUUCCCUCCACUACAGAAGGGUGGAGGAGGGACUCCCCAAGACUCAGGUAGGAGCUCUGCUUGAUAUCCUGCUGUAGAGUGAGGUGCCCAGGGUUCCAGAGGCUGUAGGCAAGCCCUGGGUGGCAGCAGGCGGCCCGUUCACAGAUGGCCUGCUUGCCCAAAGGGGGCCCACAGGAAGCCUGGGUCUUAGUCCUUAGGGGAAGUGGUGGGGAACACAGCUGCCUCCUGAGGUACCACGAGGAGCGGCAGAGCUUAGGUCUAGGGUAUCAGGACUGUGUCCUGUGUCUGCCCCCUACCACCUAUGACCUCAGGCACAUUGCCUUGCCUCUCUGGGCCCGAGCACCCACCCCGAAGGGAGCUAGAGCUGAGGAGCCCAGUGUUCACAGGUGUGCAGAGCAAAGUCCUUUCCGUGGAGGAUCCAGUGGGUUCGAAUCACAGGAGAGCCCAGGGACCUGACACUUCUACUGUGCUCCUGGCUUUCCCAUGAGUCACUGGGGCAGGUACUGUCUGCAGGGUCCCUGCCUCCAUCCCACCUGGCUGAUCUGUACAUUGGGGACUGGACUGCAGAUGCCAGGUCCACACAGAGAGAGCCACUGCAGACACAGAUCGCCCAUGGGUCUUGGAACAUGCUGGAGAGCUGGCCGCACACAGCAGUGCCCCCCAACACAGAGGGAUCUGUUUAAAGGCAGCUCCUGAGAUGGUCAGAGAGUGGCCAGAGUGACCACAUGCCAUGGACGGAGCAUCUGUGUCCCCACCAAAUCCCUAGGUUAAAGCCCUAACCCCAGGGGGGAGGCAUUGGGAGGUGGGCCUUUCGGCCAUGGGGGUGGAGCCCUCAUGCUGGGAUCAGUGCCCCUACAGGAAGAGCCACGGGGAGAGGAUUUCUCCCUGCCACGAGAGGACACUGCGAGAAAGGGGCCAUCCACAAACCAGGAUAAGUCCCUACCAGGAACUGAAUUGGCCAGGACCGUGACCUCCAGAAAUGUGAAAAUAAAUGCCUGGUGGUUAAGCCACCAGCCUGUGGCGCCGUGUUAGAGCAGCCCAAACUGAUAAGACAUCACACAGGCAGGUCAUGUCACUCUGCCCUGCGGGCCCCCAGGGGACCUGAGGACAUCACAGAUGCUGCCCCUGCCCCUCCCUGCUGCCCUCACCUGCACAGGACCCUGACAGUCCCUCCUGACACCCUGAACAAACCUUGCUGGGCCUCCACUGGAUGGGGUCACUCACCCUUCCACGCUGGCUCCGUCCACCCCCCACCCCUCACUCUCCAGGUCACCUCAUGAGAGGUGUGCCUCAGCCAUCCUUCUUCUCAUUCUCUGCCUUAGCCCCUCUGUAUAUUCCCUUCGUUGCAUUGAUCAAAACUUGAAAUAACAUUAUUUAUGAGUUUGCUUGAGUUGUCUUUUUCCCUCCAGUAAAAUG